rnacentral:rRNA from 1 species
GUACACGCUGUGACUAGCAUAUCAAUAAGCGGAGGAAAAGAAACUAACAAGGAUUCCCCUAGUAACGGCGAGUGAAGCGGGAAGAGCUCAAAUUUGAAAUCUUGAAGGGUUUCCCUUUACGAAUUGUAGUUUAAAGAAGUGUUUUCUGUUGAGGUUUUGGUAAAAGUUCUUUGGAAUAGGACAUCAUAGAGGGUGAGAAUCCCGUAUUUGACCUUUACUUUCAACUUUGUGAUACACUUUCAAAGAGUCGGAUUGUUUGGGAAUGCAGUCCAAAAUGGGUGGUAAAUUUCAUCUAAAGCUAAAUAUUGGCGAGAGACCGAUAGCGAACAAGUACCGUGAGGGAAAGAUGAAAAGAACUUUGAAAAGAGAGUUAAACAGUACGUGAAAUUGUCAAAAGGGAAGCGUUUGACACCAGUGUUGUUUUUCUGAAAAUCAAUUAAAGAACUGUUUAUGCUAAGCUUGUUUAGACUUUAUCAGCUAAUCUGUUUAGUUUUGAGCUUUUCUUUAAUGCACUUUUCAGUUAACAAGUCAACAUCAAUUUCUUUUGCUGUAAAAAAGCUUGAGGAAGGUGGCUUGAGAUUCGUCUUAAGUGUUUAUAGCCUCUUGCCUAUGCAGUCGGAGAGAUUGAGGUCUGCAGCGUAGAUCCUUCGGGGCUAAAUGCAUUUGUGCUAAGUUAUAGCAUUUUAUAGACAACUUGUUGACUAUGAUUUGUCUUGUAGCUUACUCGCUUAUGUUAUUUUACCUACGCUUAGGAUGUUGAAGAUGUAGCACAUCAU